rnacentral:antisense_RNA from 1 species
CUUGAGCGAACCGAGCCACAGCGGGCUCUGCGGGGCGCGGUCCUGGCCGUAGACGGCGAGCAGGGCAUGCGCCUC